rnacentral:rRNA from 1 species
AUUGAACGCUGGCGGCAGGCCUAACACAUGCAAGUCGAGCGGAUGAAGUGAGCUUGCUCCUGUAUUCAGCGGCGGACGGGUGAGUAAUGCCUAGGAAUCUGCCUGGUAGUGGGGGAUAACGUCCGGAAACGGGCGCUAAUACCUCAUACGUCCUGAGGGAGAAAGUGGGGGAUCUUCGGACCUCACGCUAUCAAAUGAGCCUAGGUCGGAUUAGCUAGUUGGUGGGGUAAAGGCCUACCAAGGCGACGAUCCGUAACUGGUCUGAGAGGAUGAUCAGUCACACUGGAACUGAGACACGGUCCAGACUCCUACGGGAGGCAGCAGUGGGGAAUAUUGGACAAUGGGCGAAAGCCUGAUCCAGCCAUGCCGCGUGUGUGAAGAAGGUCUUCGGAUUGUAAAGCACUUUAAGUUGGGAGGAAGGGCAGUAAGUUAAUAACUUGCUGUUUUGACGUUACCAACAGAAUAAGCACCGGCUAACUUCGUG